CCACACAUUCAAAGAGUGCGUAAUAGCUCACUAGUCGAGAGGUCCUGCGCCGAAAAUGUCCGGGGCUAAAACACGACACCGAAGCUGUGGAAUGUAUAUUUAUAUACAUUGGUAGAGGAGCAUUCUUAACGCACAGAAGCAUUACCGUAAGGAGAUGUGGAGUGUUAAGAAGAGAGAAUGCCGGAAUGAGUAGCGAGAUGGAGGUGAGAAUCCUCCAGGCCGAAUAUCUAAGGUUUCCAGAGUAAAGCUGAUCUGCUCUGGGUAAGUCGGGGCCUAAGGCGAGGUCGAAAGACGUAGUCGAUGGACAACAGGUUGAAAUUCCUGUACCGCAUAUUAUCAGAACUGUGGGGACACAGAACCGAAGAAGAACCCGGGAAUGAAAAGACCGGGGCAAGCACUGGACUGGCUGGAAUGGCAAAUCCACCCAGCAACAGGAAGGUGUGACGCGUACCGAACAUAAGUAGGGAAGUCUUCGUAGGGGCUGUCAAGAAAAGCCGCUAUUGUGUAAUAUGUGCCCGUACCGUAAACCGACACAGGUGGAUGAGGAGAGAAUCCUAAGGCCGGCGGGAGAAGCAUUGUUAAGGAACUCGGCAAAAUGACCCCGUAACUUCGGGAUAAGGGGUGCCUGGGAAACCAGGCCGCAGAGAAUAGGCUCAAGCAACUGUUUAGCAAAAACACAGGUCUAUGCAAAACCGAAAGGUGAGGUAUAUGGGCUGACGCCUGCCCGGUGCUGGAAGGUUACGAGGAGGGGUUAGCGGCAACGCGAAGCUCUGAAUUUAAGCCCCAGUAAACGGCGGCC
rnacentral:rRNA from 2 species